AUGGAUCAUUAUCGACAAAACUCACUCUUUAUUCAAAGAAAAAGAAAGUUGAGACUUGCGGAAAGAUUUCCCCUGUAAAAAAGGGGUGCUUUUUGUGAGUCUUGAUGGACUAUUUCAAGUUCCGUCGCGCAUAACACAAUCUUAGCAAAGGUUGGAAAUAAUCAUUCGUUAAAACUUGGUUCCUUUACAGGACUUUCUUUUAACUAAUAAACGAGAAUCGUUAGAGAUCAACUCUCAACAACGGAUAUCUCGGCUUUC
rnacentral:misc_RNA from 1 species